rnacentral:rRNA from 1 species
AAUCUUGCGCAAUGGGCGAAAGCCUGGCGCAGCGACGCCGCGUGAGUGAAGAAGGCCUUCGGGUUGUAAAACUCUGUCCUCAGGGAAGAAGCAAGUGACGGUACCUGAGGAGGAAGCCCCGGCUAACUUCGUGCCAGCAGCCGCGGUAAUACGAAGGGGGCUAGCGUUGUUCGGAAUUACUGGGCGUAAAGCGCGCGUAGGCGGACUUUUAAGUCAGGGGUGAAAUCCCGAGGCUCAACCUCGGAACAGCCUUUGAUACUGGAGGUCUCGAGUCCGAGAGAGGUGAGUGGAAUUCCGAGUGUAGAGGUGAAAUUCGUAGAUAUUCGGAGGAACACCAGUGGCGAAGGCGGCUCACUGGCUCGGUACUGACGCUGAGGUGCGAAAGCGUGGGGAGCAAAC